rnacentral:tRNA from 1 species
GGUUCUAUAGUGUAGUGGUCAUCACGUCUGCUUUACACGCAGAAAGUCCUGGGUUCAAUCCCCAGUACAACCA